rnacentral:tRNA from 1 species
UAGCUCAGCUGGUUAGAGCGCACGCCUGAUAAGCGUGAGGUCGAUGGUUCGAGUCCAUUUAGGCCCA